GUUCAUGCUGAAGGCCUGUUUCCUAGGCUACAAUUGGAGGACUCGUUUCUCACCCACUUGCGUAGGGGAAAGUCCCCGGACCUAGGGCAGAAAGUGCCACAUGCUCACACAUGUAGACUUGUCCGUGUCUCAUGCUUAGCCCGCUAAGAAGCAGUCAAAUAAUCCAUAGUUGAGAAAAACCACUCCUGAAAGGAGAAUGUGGGUUGCUUCACCUCAGGUGCCUCCGGGAUGGAUUCUGACUCGUCUUUGUUUGCUGUGGACUCCAGCAUGUCUAAGUGUCUGGCAAGAGUGUGUUCUCCAUUUCCCUUGCCGGGAUCAUUUCACCACUUCCUGCAUCUCUCAAUUCAGAGUAAA
rnacentral:lncRNA from 1 species